rnacentral:tRNA from 1 species
GGGGGUAUAGCUCAGCUGGGAGAGCGCAACACUGGCAGUGUUGAGGUCAGCGGUUCGAUCCCGCUUACCUCCA